rnacentral:rRNA from 1 species
UACGUAGGGUGCGAGCGUUGUCCGGAAUUACUGGGCGUAAAGAGCUCGUAGGUGGUUUGUCGCGUUGUUCGUGAAAUCUCACGGCUUAACUGUGAGCGUGCGGGCGAUACGGGCAGACUAGAGUACUGCAGGGGAGACUGGAAUUCCUGGUGUAGCGGUGGAAUGCGCAGAUAUCAGGAGGAACACCGGUGGCGAAGGCGGGUCCCUGGGCAGUAACUGACGCUGAGGAGCGAAAGCGUGGGGAGCGAACAGGAUUAGAUACCCUGGUAGUCCACGCCGUAAACGGUGGGUACUAGGUGUGGGUUUCCUUCCUUGGGAUCCGUGCCGUAGCUAACGCAUUAAGUACCCCGCCUGGGGAGUACGGCCGCAAGGCUAAACUC